AUUGAACGCUGGCGGCAUGCCUUACACAUGCAAGUCGAACGGCAGCACGGGGGCAACCCUGGUGGCGAGUGGCGAACGGGUGAGUAAUAUAUCGGAACGUGUCCUGUAGCGGGGGAUAACCUAUCGAAAGAUGGACUAAUACCGCAUACGACCUACGGGUGAAAGCGGAGGACUCUCGGGCAACUGAGGGCUUCGCGACUAUAGGAGCGGCCGAUAUCGGAUUAGCUAGUUGGUGAGGUAAAGCGUCACCAAGGCGUACGAUCCGUAGACUGGUCUGAGAGGACGACCAGCCACACUGGAACUGAGACACGGUCCAGACUCCUACGGGAGGCAGCAGUGGGGAAUUUUGGACAAUGGGCGAAAGCCUGAUCCAGCGACGCCGCGUGGUGGAUGAAGGUCUUCGGAUCGUAAACACCUUUUGUAUGGGACGAAUUUUAUGACGGUACCAUGCGAAUAAGAGGUUGCUAACUCUGUGCCAGCAGCCGCGGUAAU
rnacentral:rRNA from 1 species